GAAGUCGGGGGCAUUCGUAUUUCAUUGUCAGAGGUGAAAUUCUUGGAUUUAUGAAAGACGAACUACUGCGAAAGCAUUUGCCAAGGAUGUUUUCAUUAAUCAAGAACGAAAGUUGGGGGCUCGAAGACGAUUAGAUACCGUCGUAGUCUCAACCAUAAACGAUGCCGACUAGGGAUUGGCGAAUGUUUUUUUAAUGACUUCGCCAGCACCUUAUGAGAAAUCAAAGUUUUUGGGUUCCGGGGGGAGUAUGGUCGCAAGGCUGAAACUUAAAGGAAUUGACGGAAGGGCACCACCAGGCGUUAACAAAGCUGAAAGCUCUAGCGCCAGUGAGGGGGAAACCUCUUGCUAGUCAACACAAUUCAAUUGUGUUGGCAACACCUUCAAAUUGCUGGAAAAUUCUAAAGCCAUUGCAUACCAAGGUGUGAAGGAAACUUCAUGCUGGCCAGGGCAAUGACCUCGGGUAUGGUGACAACUGCAAUGGAUGACGAGAUUUUCAGUCUCUGAAAUGGACAACCAGCAGCCAAGUCCUAAACAUGAUGUAAUAUCAUGCAUGGAUGCAGUUCACAGACUAAAUGGAGGUGGGCUGUCGAAUAAAUACCGACGGCUUAAGAUAUAGUCGGCCCUUAUCGAAAGAUAACCAGUAAGAGGAAACCAUGUUUAUAGUGGUGGAGAGCUUACUGGGCAUCAGGUAGUACUUGGCAGUGUGAGCUGUCAAGGGCUCCACCAUGGUGGAGCCUCUGAUGCGGAACUAGCGGGAGCCUGCGGCUUAAUUUGACUCAACACGGGAAAACUUACCAGUCCAGACAUAGUGAGGAU
rnacentral:rRNA from 1 species